CCUAUAGGAAAAAUUCCUAUAGGAAAAAUUCCUAUAGGAAAAAUUCCUAUAAGAAUUUGGGACAAAAUUCCUAUAGGAAUUUUUCCUGUAGGAAUUUUUCCUAUAGGAAUUUUUCCUAUAGGAAUUUUUCCUAUAGGAAUUUUUCC
rnacentral:sRNA from 1 species